CCUCCUGUAUUCCAGGUUCUGUCUCAGGCAUGGGAAAUUCAGCAGUUAUUCAAACAAUGCUGCUUAUUGGUUUUCAGCUGUUAGAAUCAACCAGCGGAUUGACUGAAUACAAGGACGUCAAUGAAACAAACCUCGACAAUGUAAAAGAACAGAGGACAUCCUCGGGGUGAACAGUGUGGACGCCACACAAUGGUGUGUGAAUACGGUCAUACAUUUAUCUUUUAAAGGGUGAGGAGUCCCAGAUGAGGUCCAGUGGGACAUCAGUGUUGGUUUGCGCCGUGGAGAGUGUCAUCGGAAUGAGACGGAAAUGAUGUAAAAGUGAUAAUCCCUCAUGUGAG